CUACGGGAGGCUGCAGUGGGGAAUAUUGGACAAUGGGGGAAACCCUGAUCCAGCAAUGCCGCGUGUGUGAAGAAGGCCUGCGGGUUGUAAAGCACUUUCGGUUGGGAGGACUGCUUCUAGCACUAAUAUUGUUGGAAGUUGACGUUACCUUCAGAAGAAGUACCGGCUAACUCCGUGCCAGCAGCCGCGGUAAUACGGAGGGUGCAAGGGUUAAUCGGAAUUACGGGGCGUAAAGCGCGCGUAGGCGGCUAGAUCAGUCGGGUGUGAAAGCCCCGGGCUUAACCUGGGAACUGCAUCCGAUACUGUCUAGCUUGAGUACAGGAGAGGAGAGUGGAAUUCCACAUGUAGCGGUGAAAUGCGUAGAUAUGUGGAGGAACACCAAUGGCGAAGGCAGCUCUCUGGCCUGAUACUGACGCUGAGGUGCGAAAGCGUGGGGAGCAAACAGGAUUAGAUACCCUAGUAGUC
rnacentral:rRNA from 1 species